GGAGUUAGCCGGUGCUUCUUCUGUGAGUGAUGUCCUUCCUGCCGGCUAUUAACCCGCAGGCCUUCUUCCUCACUGAAAGUGCUUUACAACCCGAAGGCCUCUUCACACACGCGGCAUGGCUGGAUCAGGGUUGCCCCCAUUGUCCAAUAUUCCCCACUGCUGCCUCCCGUAGGAGUCUGGGCCGUGUCUCAGUCCCAGUGUGGCUGAUCAUCCUCUCAGACCAGCUACGGAUCGUCGCCUUGGUGAGCCGUUACCUCACCAACCAGCUAAUCCGACAUAGGCUCAUCCGAUAGCGCGAGGCCCGAAGGUCCCCCGCUUUCCCCCGUAGGGCGUAUGCGGUAUUAGCCUGGGUUUCCCCAGGUUAUCCCCCACUACCGGGCAGAUUCCUAUGCAUUACUCACCCGUCCGCCGCUCGCCACCAGGGAGCAAGCUCCCCGUGCUGCCGCUCGACUUGCAUGUGUUAGGCCUGCCGCCAGCGUUCAAUCUGAGCCAGAAUCAAACUCUGA
rnacentral:rRNA from 1 species